UGUUUUUCCUCUGCAGGUCCCUAUCUCUGUAGGAUAUAAUACAAAUCACUCUAAUGGAUUAAACUCAAAAUGCUGCUCCCAUUUGGCACAGAAUGAGCUCUUACAGAACCCCAAAGCCAAAUGCAUGUCUUCCAAAGAGAAGCAAUAUGCUACAAGGGCUUGGUUCAAGGUUCAAGCCUUAACACUAUUCUAGACUCCAAGGGACAAAGCAGCGGGGCUCCUGCUGAUAAUUUCGGUAAAAUGGGAACAUGGACACCAGCCUCUGUGGAAAAUCCUCAGCAAGUGGGAAAGAACCUGAACUUCUUGCCUCUUCAAAGGAAGCCAUCAUCCAGAGAGGUGAGAUCACACCCAGUCGGUGUGAUGGCUGACUGCUGCCAAAAAAGGGAGGGCCCACCACCCCCUCUGCAGAGACCCAAUCCAGUAUGGGCACAUGGAGCUAGAUCAGCUUGCUGACUGGGGAGAAUGAUUAGCCUUUGUUUCUUGUUUCAACGGGUUAAUCUUCUGUGGAAUCAUCUGCUUGAUCUACUUGUGGUCACAUCUAAAUCCCAGCUCAGGGAAGCAGCGUGUGAGCACUGGGCUGUGGGGAAAGGGCCUGCUCCAUACCCAGCUUAUAUUGUGAAAUUGCCCCAUAAGAAAAGCAUGAUCACAGUCCUCAGCAUUAGACUGUGAAGGACAAAGAUGAGAGUCUCUACACACUGCAAUUAAUGAGAUGAAUGAGUAUCCAUUUUCCUAAAUGACAAGCCUGCCAUUGAAAAUUAGGUGGGGAAAAUCAAUACAAUUUCUUGGAGGUUUAUAUUGUUUCAGAGUGCAUUAAUCCUCACCCUGGCAGUGAGAAAGUCUCCAUGAAAGAUGGUGUAGGAGGGAUGUGUGCUGGAUGGGGUAGACAGGGCAGGGAGGUGAGGUAAGCCCUGAGGGGAGCAGGCAGCUGACCUGGUGAUCUCUCAACUCCACAAAGCCCCUGGAAGGGUUGCUGUGACCACAGUUCUUCAGUGGGUUUGCUCUGGCCACCAUAUCAUUGCCAGCCAACUCGCAGCAUCCCUGGCAGGGUAGAACUAAUAAUAACUGCAGCAAAUGUCAUCACUUCCCACAGCCCCUUCCCUACUGAGCCAGGCGCUCAGAGCUUCAGCCCAACAGGGCAAAAGGGACAUUCCUCACCCAGUGUGAAUACAAUCAAAACAUGUCACAGUACUUCUAAUUAAAUCCUACUUAAAAUUAUUGCCUCUGUAGAAUUGCCUGCAAGGAAAAAGCCCCAGAAUAACUCAGUUACCAUGUAGUUCAAUUCACCAUUGUUGUCUGAGACCAAUGCCAAACACAUCCGAGAAAAGGCAUCACUGACAUAAAUUCCUGCAAUCGUAUGAACAAGCAGAAAUGUCUUCCUGACUGCACCUGGGAUUUGGCCAAUGAUACAUUAACCACCAUUAUAAUUUUCUUGUAGGUAGUUUAACCACAGAGGCUUUCUGUAUUGCAAUAAUUAGGACUUCGGAGAUUCCCUAAACAAGUUCCCAUGAGAAAAGAUUUUCUGGGUAAGGUUUCUGGUAAAUUGCUCAGGCCGGAAUUUGAUUACAAUAUCUCUUGCAGUGACAGAAAGUUAAAAAUCACAAUGUAAUAUUGGAAAUGUAUCCCUUCAGCUGCAAUUGGGAUAUAUUAUGUGAUCUGCUGAUACUUGUUUCUUUAUAUUUUCAAAGCCAAGUUAUAUGAAUGUUAUGAACCUUCUGUGCUGGCACUGACUGAUGAAACAUUUUGGAAAUUAUCUGCUCAUACACCUACAUGCUUAGUACAACAGAGAGAUGGAAAUUUAACUGCAUUCAUGACUUUCAUUGACUUUUUUUUUUCCUUAUGAAUUUAACUUUAGUUUUACAGGACUGGAUUCUGUGAAACUAAGGAGUACACUUGUGCUGCUGCAUGGGAAAUGUCUUGUUUUUAAUGAGUUGCCAACUUAAUGACCUGUGGGAUUUCAAAGUUCCUUUUUUGUUUUAAAGGAAAUGAUUAAUAUAUAUUCUGUCUUUAAUUAUAGUGCUAUAAUUGUGUGAAAGGAAUUCCAUUCAUUCUUUUCUUCAUUUAAAUGUCUUACAUUUGUGAAUGUUAGGCAACAUAAUCUUCUAAAAGUUCUGUCUGCAAAACAGAAGUAUAAUAUUAUUCACUUUCAAAUAUGAGAGUAAUGGGAGUACUGGUAUUCCUCAGUUUAGGGCAGAAUAUUUUGAUUGCUGCUGUAAAAGGAUAGGCCAGUUAUUUAAAUAAUUGCUUGACUAAAAUAAAAUGAAUUUAUAUGGAAAUAAAUACA
ensembl:lncRNA